CCAAGACUAACUGCCAGUCUAACCUGCGGAUCGUAUGCUCCUGCCGUUGGCGCGCUCAGGAGUAUACUCCUGUUAACACGAGUAACAUGCUCAAACCCACCCACGAUGUUCGCCAUGUGUACACUUGAAUAUGACGCGCAUCUGGAACAUGCAUUAUGGCUGCCCAUGUGUGUGCAGUGGGAGGGCUUAUGGAUCGGCCUAUCGGGUUCGUUAGUGACUGCGCCAUACACGCCCGCACCACUGAUUACUAGCGACCAUUGGAUAAACCCUCAAGUUGCGUUAGCUUCCGGUUCCAAUGGUCCCAAUACUACUUAAUGUGCAGUGGGCGUGGUUUAAACUGAACUGACGUCACACUAACGGACCAGAUUAUGAACCAACUGCAGAUGUUCCUCAGCAUAUGAAAAACAAAAAAUCCAAGGAAUAUUCAUAAUCUUUCCCAAAAAAUCCAAAUUCCAUGUGGUAUUGUUAUUUGUUUCUGCUCUUCGCUGCCAGCUUGAACACGCUUUAAUAUGAAUAUAUUUGCAUGAAAUUGUUAUAUAUACGAUAUAAAAAGUAAAAUUAUUUUUUAAUAUUAAGUAAAAAAAAAAAAAGGAGAGAUAUGCAUGCCUGCAGAAUAGAUUCCGUAAAGAAAUGCUGUGGUGUAAUUAAUAGUACUAGAAAUUUAAUGCAUGAAUUUUAAAUCAUUUGCUUAUGAAUAUUCGUGAAGGAUUUCACUAAUGCCAACUUUGGGACCAUGUCUGUUGAUUUUCUGUUUAUGUUUGUUAGUUUGGUUUGUUCCGAAAUGUACAUUCUGAAGAUACAAUGAUUAUGAUUAUUUUUUUUCUUCAGUUUUUUUUUACUGAAGAAUCGGUUUCUUUAAAAGUUUGAUUUUAAGUUUGUAGAAAAAUGUAGCAUUGUCAGAUCGAAGAAUCUGGUAGUGGAGAUGAAUUUAAGGAAUUAAAAAGAACUCUCAGAUCAAAUUGACUAUAAGUUGGUCCUUUUCUGAGAUCACACUGACUAUAAGUUGGUCCUUUUCUCAGAUCACACUGACUAUAAGUUGGUCCUUUUCUCUUUGUCAGCCACAAAAGUUGUAAGCCAUCCCAAGUCAAUCACAAGUCAAGUCACAAGCUAUUCAAAUGAACUGAGACAAAGGCAUUCCUUUGUCAUUGUUCAUCCACUGUUUACUGGAUAUGACCUGUAAGAGCUAGACAACAUGAAACUUGGUGUGAACGUAGACCCUAUCAAUGCAAACGGAAUUCAAUGCAGUGCAGGAAUGGUCAGUUCUACAUGCUGUUAAUUCUACACCUGUAUUAAUUGUAUCAACUACACAUGAAAGGUGAAACGCUAGAGAGAAUUUAUCUCAACAAAUUUCUCCUCGGCAAUAUGCAAGUAAUCAGUUUACUCCCCUUAUAAUUCUUACUUGGCUCCGCCCAUUGGUACACUAAUUGGUUUUGUGUCUCACAGACCCCUGCUGGUCCAUGUGCAGUAGUUUUGUAUACAAAACGGAAGUUUUCUGUUUAGGACCAAAAAUGGAACAAAAUUAUUCUGACAUGAUGAAACUUUUUUUUUUGGGAAGUUCAACACAUGCCUGUCAACUCUUUUUCCUGCAAAAUUCUGUAAGAUUAUUGAUGGCAUGAAGGCUGGUAACCACAGCCUGUGUUUUCAAAACCUGUGUUCUGACUGCACAUUGCCAUAGGGGACUAGACCAAUAUGGAGGCAGUGUUCUAAUGGAGAUAAAACUUUCAAUCAUAAUACAGGUCACAUUUUAAAAACUUGUUUUUGGAAUCUCUCUGAUUGAAGUGAUUAAGGAUCUUGUUCAUCACAAUGAACAAUAAUAAUAUUUUAAUAUUUAACAGGUUUUUUUGGUUUUUAUGUAAAUUAUUUGAUUCAAAUUUUUCAAAAUCACAGCAAAGAUUCAGGUAUAAAAAUCUGCAAAAUUACUUAUUUUUGUACUGGUACUCUGCUUGCAUGCGAAAUGCAAGCACAAACAGUCGGUGAACCAGUGAAACAAACCAUGGUUAUUGGUUCUUGCCGCACAAGUGGUGUGGAAAACCCACCGUUGAACCAGGGUACCGACUAACUUUCUGAAUGGGUACCAGGAAUGUUUUACGAAAGGUGAAUUGCAUAUGAUUGGUUACCAGCUAAAACUGGCACCCUGUCUUCUCUUUUUAAUUGUUUACACAAAUUGUACAUUUUGAGACAGGAAAAAAAUUGGACAGAUGCGUUUUUUGUUCUUAUCAUUGACGGUUGAUUCACUGGUACAAAAAGGACAGAACAAUCAUAAUACCUUUUUUUUGAAAUUGAGUCACUUGUUUACAAUAGUGUAUCCAUAUUUUCUACACUGGUAUAAACUAAUGAUGUACAUGUAGAAGGAUAUUUCAACGAUUACUGUAAUAAUAGGAUCAAGAUUGGAUGUUAAUAUUGAAAUAAAAUGACUGAGGUGCUUUGCCAAUUUAAACAAA